rnacentral:rRNA from 1 species
UACGUAGGGUGCAAGCGUUGUCCGGAAUUAUUGGGCGUAAAGAGCUCGUAGGCGGCUUGUCGCGUCUGCUGUGAAAACCCGAGGCUCAACCUCGGGCCUGCAGUGGGUACGGGCAAGCUAGAGUGCGGUAGGGGAGAUUGGAAUUCCUGGUGUAGCGGUGGAAUGCGCAGAUAUCAGGAGGAACACCGAUGGCGAAGGCAGAUCUCUGGGCCGUAACUGACGCUGAGGAGCGAAAGCGUGGGGAGCAGACAGG